ensembl:lncRNA
CUGAUACAAGUCAUUAUGCGGUUGGCCUUCUUGGCCACCUGGGCACACUGCCAGAUGGGACACUUCCUCCUAGCUUCGUCUCAUCUUCAAACUUACUGAGGCUGCCUAGAAAGCAGCACGGAGAGCAGUGUGUGAAGCACAGAGACAAAGGAAAACAGCGUGGCUUUGGAGGAGUGGGAGCCAGCUUCCCCGUGGGCUUUGAAGAUGCAAACUCCAAUCCUAUCAGUACGGCAAGGCUGGUGUCUGCUGGAUGGGAUGCAGACGGCGGAAGAAUUUGGCACGCGGUGAUCCUGUAGGUAUUCCAUGGGCUGAAAGCAGAAUUAACUCACUAGUGCGAGGGGAAGAUGCAGAUCCAUGCCCUUGUAUCCUCUCAGAGAUCUCCCCUAUUGCCAGAGGAAAAGCUCCAGCUGUAGUGCAGAGGCCUGGCAUCACUUUACCUCUUGGAGCACAUUAGAUUGUGUGAGAGGAUCAGCAUUGCUUCUGGUGGUGGUUUAAUUAUGGACAUUUGAGAAGCACAGUUUUCUGACUGCUUUGACCAAUCAUAAAGUCAGCACUUCAAAGAAAGAUCUUCAAACAACGUUUUCUGGGAGAAGGCUCUGAUCAGGACUUGUCCCCACCAGAGUUAGGAUUCAGAUCUCUCCAAGAAGCAAAGCAAAUUAAAGCUGGUCAGCUAGAGAAAUGCUGUCCAGGUUUCUUCAUCACAAAUAGCAAAUCUGAAGGCACUUCAGAAUCAGUUUCUGCACACGUUUUACUAUCUGCAGCUCUCAGUCUGUAGCUAAUCAUAGCACACAACUGUGUGAUAGCUCUAACUCCCCCCUGACUUGCGCUGUUGCCAAUUAGAGACAGCUUCACUGAAAUCAAUGCAGUUACAAUUGUGCUGAAUGGAGGUCUGGGUCCCUAAUGCUGGAAGCUAAAUUCACUUCAAGGAUGCCAUAAUAUUCUGAGCAAUGAAUGAGUGAAGAAGGCAGAUGGUGGCUUGGAGUGAUGAAGGAUACACAGCUCUGAUAUCACCCAGUGCUGAAGGUCACUGGGGGUGAUAGUGAUGUGCAAGAGUCAUCUCACCUGAACUGAAAAUUCCAUUACACUGAAUUCCUAUAGUUUAUAUGUUCUAGAAUGUGUCUAUUGAUGUAUGAUUUUCUCUUCUCAGAUAUCUUAUGUCACAUUGAAAGCAGACAGUACAUUUACUUUUAGUAAAUUCCAGUAGGUUAAAUAUUCUGCUAAGAUUUUCCCUUUGUUGUCUGCCUGCAAUAAAGCCUAUUUGGUU